UACGUAGGGGGCUAGCGUUGUCCGGAUUUAUUGGGCGUAAAGAGCGUGUAGGCGGCCAGGUAGGUCUGCUGUGAAAACUCGAGGCUCAACCUCGAGACGUCGGCUGAAACCAUCUGGCUAGAGUCCGGAAGAGGAGAGUGGAAUUCCUGGUGUAGCGGUGAAAUGCGCAGAUAUCAGGAAGAACACCCGUGGCGAAGGCGGCUCUCUGGGACGGUACUGACGCUGAGACGCGAAAAGCGUGGGGAGCGAACAGG
rnacentral:rRNA from 1 species